GAGUUUGAACCUGGCUCAGGAUGAACGCUGGCGGUGUGCCUAACACAUGCAAGUCGAGCGAAGCGAUUUUGAGGAAGUUUUCGGAUGGAAUCGAAAUUGACUUAGCGGCGGACGGGUGAGUAACACGUGGGUAAUCUGCCUUAUACAGGGGGAUAACAGUUAGAAAUGACUGCUAAUACCGCAUAAGCGCACGGGGACGCAUGUUUCUGUGUGAAAAACUCCGGUAGUAUAAGAUGAGCCCGCGUCUGAUUAGCUGGUUGGUGGGGUAACGGCCUACCAAGGCGACGAUCAGUAGCCGGCCUGAGAGGGUGAACGGCCACAUUGGGACUGAGACACGGCCCAAACUCCUACGGGAGGCAGCAGUGGGGAAUAUUGCACAAUGGGGGAAACCCUGAUGCAGCGACGCCGCGUGAGUGAAGAAGUAUUUCGGUAUGUAAGGCUCUAUCAGCAGGGAAGAAAAAAGACGGUACCUGACUAAGAAGCCCCGGCUAACUACGUGCCAGCAGCCGCGGUAAUACGUAGGGGGCAAGCGUUAUCCGGAUUUACUGGGUGUAAAGGGAGCGUAGACGGCGCGGCAAGUCUGAAGUGAAAGGCAGGGGCUUAACCCCUGAACUGCUUUGGAAACUGCCAUGCUAGAGUGCUGGAGAGGUAAGUGGAAUUCCUAGUGUAGCGGUGAAAUGCGUAGAUAUUAGGAGGAACACCAGUGGCGAAGGCGGCUUACUGGACAGUAACUG
rnacentral:rRNA from 1 species